rnacentral:rRNA from 1 species
CACGUAGUUAGCCGUGGCUUUCUGGUUAGGUACCGUCAAGGUACCAGCAGUUACUCUGGUACUUGUUCUUCCCUAACAACAGAGUUUUACGAUCCGAAAACCUUCAUCACUCACGCGGCGUUGCUCCGUCAGACUUUCGUCCAUUGCGGAAGAUUCCCUACUGCUGCCUCCCGUAGGAGUCUGGGUCGUGUCUCAGUCCCAGUGUGGCCGAUCACCCUCUCAGGUCGGCUACGCAUCGUGGCCUUGGUGAGCCGUUACCUCACCAACUAGCUAAUGCGCCGCGGCCAUCUAUAAGUGACAGCGUAAACCGUCUUUCAGCACAUCUACAUGAGUAGAUGUAGAAUUAUACCGGUUAUUAGCCUUCCGGUUUCCGAAGUUAUCCCUAGUUCUAAUAGG